AGAGUUUGAUCCUGGCUCAGGAUGAACGCUAGCGGCAGGCCUAACACAUGCAAGUCGAGGGGCAGCACGGUGUAGCAAUACACUGGUGGCGACCGGCGCACGGGUGCGUAACGCGUAUGCAACCUACCCAUAACAGGGGGAUAACACUGAGAAAUUGGUACUAAUACCCCAUAACAUUAGGACCGGCAUCGGUUCUGGUUGAAAACUCCGGUGGUUAUGGAUGGGCAUGCGUUGUAUUAGCUGGUUGGUGAGGUAACGGCUCACCAAGGCAACGAUACAUAGGGGGACUGAGAGGUUAACCCCCCACAUUGGUACUGAGACACGGACCAAACUCCUACGGGAGGCAGCAGUGAGGAAUAUUGGUCAAUGGACGCAAGUCUGAACCAGCCAUGCCGCGUGCAGGAAGACGGCUCUAUGAGUUGUAAACUGCUUUUGUACGAGGGUAAACGCUCUUACGUGUAAGAGCCUGAAAGUAUCGUACGAAUAAGGAUCGGCUAACUCCGUGCCAGCAGCCGCGGUAAUACGGAGGAUCCGAGCGUUAUCCGGAUUUAUUGGGUUUAAAGGGUGCGUAGGCGGUUUGAUAAGUUAGAGGUGAAAUACCGGUGCUUAACACCGGAACUGCCUCUAAUACUGUUGAACUAGAGAGUAGUUGCGGUAGGCGGAAUGUAUGGUGUAGCGGUGAAAUGCUUAGAGAUCAUACAGAACACCGAUUGCGAAGGCAGCUUACCAAACUAUAUCUGACGUUGAGGCACGAAAGCGUGGGGAGCAAACAGGAUUAGAUACCCUGGUAGUCCACGCAGUAAACGAUGAUAACUCGCUGUCGGCGAUACACGGUCGGCGGCUAAGCGAAAGCGAUAAGUUAUCCACCUGGGGAGUACGUUCGCAAGAAUGAAACUCAAAGGAAUUGACGGGGGCCCGCACAAGCGGAGGAACAUGUG
rnacentral:rRNA from 1 species